rnacentral:rRNA from 1 species
UACGAAGGGGGCUAGCGUUGUUCGGAAUUACUGGGCGUAAAGCGCGCGUAGGCGGCUUUGUAAGUUAGAGGUGAAAGCCCGGGGCUCAACCCCGGAACUGCCUUUAAGACUGCAUCGCUUGAAUCCGGGAGAGGUGAGUGGAAUUCCGAGUGUAGAGGUGAAAUUCGUAGAUAUUCGGAAGAACACCAGUGGCGAAGGCGGCUCACUGGACCGGCAUUGACGCUGAGGUGCGAAAGCGUGGGGAGCAAACAGG